rnacentral:rRNA from 1 species
GACGAACGCUGGCGGCGUGCUUAACACAUGCAAGUCGAACGGAAAGGCCUCUUUCGGGGGGUACUCGAGUGGCGAACGGGUGAGUAACACGUGAGUAACCUGCCCUUGACUUUGGGAUAACUUCAGGAAACUGGGGCUAAUACCGGAUAGGAGCUCCUGCUGCAUGGUGGGGGUUGGAAAGUUUCGGCGGUUGGGGAUGGACUCGCGGCUUAUCAGCUUGUUGGUGGGGUAGUGGCUUACCAAGGCUUUGACGGGUAGCCGGCCUGGGAGGGUGACCGGCCCCAUUGGGACUGAGAUACGGCCCAGACUCCUACGGGAGGCAGCAGUGGGGAAUAUUGCACAAUGGGUGGAAGCCUGAUGCAGCAACGCCGUGUGCGGGAUGACGGCCUUCGGGUUGUAAACCGCUUUCGCUCAUGACGAAGCUUUGUGUGACGGUAGUGGGUAAAGAAGCACCGGCUAACUACGUG